AUGCCAUCGCCAAUCACAUUGAUGAAUUGUUUGCUGGGGUCUCCUCUGACUCCCCGCCCCGCAUCCCCCUUGCCCCACACCUCCCCUAUCAAGUGUACUCAAACUCCGGGUUCCACCUGUGGCCUCUGCCAGGACACCACGACGCCCCGCCCUCCUCGAGCUGCGGCAGCUAAAAUCUGGAGCCACGGAGUUUCCAUUUCUGCAGAAAACGAAGUUGAGCAUGCUCAGCGGCCAUGGCGAAUUUUAUCACCAUCUACAACCGUGUUACUUAAUCAUCCAUUUACUGCUCGCCGUGUGCUGCAGAAGCCACCGAGCCGGCUCAAUGCGUUCUUUAACUUUGAGGAUAUGCAAGGGAUCACCCAGCACUUUGUCGUCUGUCAUGUGGAUGCCCUAGGCCAGCAGGAAGGUGCACCCCCUUUCCCAACAGGGUACCAGUACCCCACAAUGAAUGAACUGAUUGAAAUACUGCUUCCUUCUUACCCACCUAGGUCUGAAAAGCAUCAUCGGGAUUGAAGUUGGAGCUGGAGUUUAUAUCCUCAGCAGAUUUGCACUUAAUCAUUCAGAGCCAUGUGGAAGGCCUUGUGCUUAUUAACGUUGACCCUUGUGCCAAAGGCUGAAUUGACUGGGCAGUUUCCAAGCUCUCAGGUCGGACAACCAAUGUUGUGGACAUUAUUUUGCCUCAUCACUUUGGACGGGAAGAGUUGCAGACCAACUUGGACCUGAUUCAAACCUACAGACUGCAUAUUGCCCAAGAUAUCAACCAAAAAAACCUACAGCUCUUCUUGGGUUUCUACAAUGGAUGCAGAGACCUGGAGAUUGAAAGACCCAUACUGGGCCAAAAUGAUAACAAAUUAAAAACAUUAAGGUGCUGUACUUUACUGGUGGUGGCUGAGGCUAUGGUUGAAUGUAAUUCCCACCUGAACCAAAUAAAUAUAACUUUGCUAAAGACAGCAGAUUGUGGGAGACUGCCCCAAGUAGUUUAGCCUGGGAAGCUCACCAAGGCCUUCAAGUACUUUUUGUAGGGAAUGGGAGACAUACCAUCUGCCAGUAUGACCCGGCUCACCCAGUCACGGAUCCACUCAACCUCGAGUAGCAUUAGCUCUGGAGAAAGCCUCUUUAGACGGUCUGUCACCAGCAAUCAGUCAAAUGGAACUCAAGAAUCCUGUGAUUCUCCUGAUGUCCUGGACAGACACCCUAUGGAGAUGUCCUGCUGAGUAGAUGCUCCUUCCCUGAACCAUGCAAGUCCACCCUUCUUCAAAUGACCACUCCAUAAUAUAACAUUUCUUCCAGUAAGUUGGCCUCUACUAUCUUUAACUCAUGCAUGACCACUGAACCUCUCUCUAGUAGCCUGAAUUUAUCAUUCUCUCUGCCUACCCAUCUCCUGUAUAUACCAAGAACCAUCCAUGCCAUUACUGUAACAUUCCAGGAUCUUAGCUGAUCUGAGCUCCAUAUCUUCUCUUGCCAGCUUUUUCCUGUGCUCCCCCAACUAUGUAUCAGAUAAGA